rnacentral:rRNA from 1 species
UGUAAUUUGUAGAGAGUGUUUCGGGUGAGACCACGGUUUAAGUCCAUUGGAACAGGGCGUCAUAGAGGGUGAGAAUCCCGUAUGUGACUGUGGCUCGAACCCAUGUGAAGCCUCUUCGACGAGUCGAGUUGUUUGGGAAUGCAGCUCAAAAUGGGUGGUAAAUUUCAUCUAAAGCUAAAUACUGGCUGGAGACCGAUAGCGCACAAGUAGAGUGAUCGAAAGAUGAAAAGCACUUUGGAAAGAGAGUCAAACAGUACGUGAAAUUGUUGAAAGGGAAGCGCUUGCAACCAGACCUGUGCGUAGGUGAUCAGCCGCUGUUCUCAGUGGUGCACUCGCUCUGCGAUCAGGCCAGCAUCGGUUUCGGCGGUCGGAUAAAGGCCUUGGGAAUGUAGCUUCCCUUCGGGGGAGUCUUAUAGCCCUCGGUGCAAUGCGGCCAGCCGGGACCGAGGACCGCGCUUCGGCUAGGAUGCUGGCGUAAUGGUUGUAA